AAAAAACAAACAAACAAACAUUCUUUCUUUUUCUAUGUGAAAGACUUCAUCACUGUGGAUCCUCUAAACCUGGGGGGUGGGAUGGCAGCCCUAUAACUGCCAUGCAAGGCUGGCCCCUGCAUUUAAACUGCUGGAUGAAAUGGGAGCUCCUGGCACGACAAGGGCAAUGCCAGAGCUCCACGUGACACCAGAUGACUCACGACUGCCUGACAGCAUCUGCAGCAUCCAUCCAAUGGGAGCAGUAGCAGGAGUUGCUUCACUGAAAGGAAAAUCUCCAAGAGAUUAACUUCCUGGUGGCUACAUGAAGAGAUUUGGACAAAGAGGCCCAGGACAGCUGCUUGAUCUCCAAGGAUGGAGUGCACCCGCAGCAAGUUUUUAGAUGACAACAAAAGUGGAAAAAGAAGAUGGUUGGAGGGUGGGGCUGCCACUCAGAGGCAUGGACAGGCUGCAGAAAUGGACUGAGGGGAACCUCAUGAAGUUCAGAAUAGAUAAGUGCAACCAGAAAUGAGUUAGCUCUGCUUAGAGUAAAUAAUUGGAAUAGAUGACCUCCAGAAAUUCCUCAACCUUAAUGGUUCUCUGAUUCUCUGAUUUUAUGAUUCUUGCUCUGCAAGUGGCUAAAUGAGAGGAGACACAGAUGAAAAAGCAGAUUUGAGUAGCUAUUCAAAUCCAGUCCAUUAUGUUCUCUGAAUUAGAGGGAGAAGAGGAUUGUAGAGAAGUAAUACAUUUUGCUAGAUCAACUGGUAUAGCUGGAAGAGAAAAACAGAUAUAUCUUUUAUUAGAUUUGAAAGACAAGUGAUGCUCUUCAAAGCUAAAUAUGAGUAGAGAACAAUUGCUCUGAAUUCUAUGUUUAUAUUUAGCAGUGAAAAAAAGGCAGUAGGUACUUUCAGAGCAAAGAAGGAUCCUAGGCUAUAAAACAGAAGCAUUUGUAGGAUAGAAAGAGCACCCUGAAACAAAGACUGCCUCACACAUUUUACCUUUAGCACCUAAAACUUUGCCUUCAAUAGCAAUAACUUUCCUCAAGCAUUGUCACAGCUGGGAAAACAAUAUACCCCCAUGAUAUACUAUAGGAGUCACCAUGAAAAAGAGAUU